AAUUCAGAUUUUGAUCUUCCAUUCAGGAGAGAGGAGGUGUCUGGACUGAUUCUGUUUACUUCUGAAGGGCAAGCAGUGGCAAAGGUGCUAGAAGUUAAGGCAUUCUAGAGUGCAGAGUAACAUAAGGAGGGUAUUAUUUGUCUUUUCCUGCCUCUCUGGGAGAGGAGAGAUAUUAAAUGCAGUAUGCUAGCUGUGGUCUAGGGCCCUCUGUGGCUACUUCAGGUAUUGGUAUUCCCAGAUGUUCCUCAAACCAGGAUACAGCUUCUCCUGCUGAUGGAACUAUGGAUAUAUACCUGUUACUGUGCACUUCUGAUGCUUCUGGAUGUGACCACCAGCUGCAGAUGUGAAGAUACAUGGUCUGCCUUUUACAAAGAUCAGGCAAGAACUGGGAGCUGAGACCCAGUGGGUAUAGGUCCUGGAUGAGGCUGGGACAGUUGAGGCCCUGUUGGUGCACUUGCGGCCUUGGCACCAGAUUCAAAUAAAUCUUCAUGAUAAUGAUUGCAGGAAUACUGAGGUGCUUCAAGUAGCCUGCCAUGGUCAUUGCCCUCACCCUCUGGUUGACAGGGCGGUUUCUGCAGUUACCACCUUUACUGGAUAAAGUUUCCAUGCUAUCUCCUGUCUGUACUAUAGGCCAUAGCUUAUCCAUCAUCCAGGUGCUGGAUGACAAACUCUGUCAUAGAGGGGAAAAUCCUGAAGAAGAAAGAUUUGUCAAAGACUUUCUUCAAGCUUUCAUUAUCUCCAGUCCCUCUGGAUACAAGAGGCCUGUUUAGUUUGUCUCACUGUCUGUCUGGGACUAUGAAAUAAAAUCAGGAUAAAACAAACUCAAGAUAACUGAAGUCAUCCUGGUGGUCAGAAUUUCAUCUAUGCCAACCAUAGCAGGAGGUGGGAAAGAAGGUUUGGGCGUGUCAGAAUGCAUGCCUUCAUGUCUUCAAGAAGCUGAUGUAUACACACAAAUGCAAUUGCAACUCAACACAAACUCACUAUCAAGGUACUGCUUGGUUGCUGCAGGUUGCUCGCACUUCCAGCCUUGUAGCUGGGAAGGGCCUGCAGUGAGGGGAAGGAAGUUGGAAAGACACUGUCUUGAUUUGAGUAAGACCUUAUCUCUGUCACCUUGGCUGUCAGCAGCUGAACUUUCUCAUGAAACAGGGAAGUGUAUCCUUCUGUUGGUUUAAACUGGUACACAUCUGCCUGCUUGUUAAAAGGACUUUCAUGCUGAGAGUACGUGAUGCAAAUGCUUAUAAAAUUCACUGGCUUACUGGGUAGGGUGAAGAUGUUAACUUUAACCUACCUGAAAACUUCAAUACUUUGGCAGUCUAAAUUCUUAGCAGAAAUAAUGUAACCUUAAGCACUGUUAGGACAAUUAACGUUUCAGGUUGUCUAGCUUCAUUAUACAUCUAUAUAACUUCAACAUAGCAAUACUUCUCAUGAAAAUCAUGGAUAGUUCCUCAGGACAAGACCUACAGAAUGUUUUUAAGCUACCAGUUAUCUUCAACAUUGUGCACACAACUGGUUAGAAAGACAUAAUGCUAACUGAAAAUACCUAUUUACUUUUUCUUCAAUGUCUCUGCCUCUGAGGAAAUGUCUUACUUUUGUAGUGCUUAGCAGCCUGAUUUGUGACUACUGGGGUGGGAGGUAGGCUUUGAUGCAAGACUAAUGAAAUCAAAUGUGUCCUAUUGAAACAUAUUAGAAGUCAGCAAAUUUAUAAUCUAACAAUUUGAGACUCUAUUAAAGGCUCGCCAAGACUCUUAAUAAUUCUCUAGAAUUCUAAGUGGGUGAAUAUCUAUUUAAAUUCUAUAGAAUAGUUAAAAAGCAAAGCCUUAAACAUAGAGGUCACUAUUUUCUGCAGGGAUUUGUCACAGGAGAGUAAAGAUCAAACCUGUUCUGCUCCUUGUUUUACAGGAUAAUUGGUCACCCGCUGGUAACUGAAACUUUACUUGCUUUGUGAAGCCCUAGAGAAAUCCUUUAUUUUAACUGUGGUCUUGGUUUGGUUUUUGGUUGGUUGUUCUUUUGUUUGUUUGUUUUUCCAUUAUUGGCAACUCUUUUCCCCUUAAGUGUCCCAGAAAAAUGGCUAAAAGAGAAAAAAACGAAGGCAUAAUGACAAAGGAAGAGAUGAUGAGCCACAGGGCAAAGCACUGAGGAUUUUCCAGCACUCAAGGACUGUAAACUAUGAAAUACGCUUUUUUUUUAUGCACCAAAUACUGCAAACACUGUAUUUUAAAGUAUAUAAGUAGGCAUGCUAAUAAUGUAAAAGAAAAGAUUCUCUUGUUCACCAGGUAAAUAUGAUGAAGAAAUGCAAAAAAAAAAAAGGCAUAUAAAUGAAGCUUAUCAGGGAGCAUAAAAUGUUAACGAAGCAUAAAAGUGAAAUUUUACAAAAUAGUAACUUGUUGACUGUUUUUGUCACAGAUCCUUAUUAUAACGUCUCAGCAAUUAUGCAGUCUACAGACAUGGAGUUAAUAAACUUGAAAGAUAUCAUACCAGAGAGGCUUCACUGCAGCUAUAGAGUUAGUUGCAAGGGUCACACUUGCCCAAUCAAAAGAGAAUUUUGAGGUUUUGUUUGUUCAUUUCAAUGAAUAUUUGGAUAAAGAGGACGUUUGCUGUUUUUUUGUUUGGGGGAGGAGGGGUGGUGUUGGUUCCUCUCCCCCCCCACUCCUGCAAUGCUCCUCUAUGAGAAAACAUGUGAUACCAACAACAGCAGAAUCAGUGCUGAACUUGAUUGGAAAGGAGUGAGACAUAUGGCAAUAAAGUCU